UGCGCUCUCUCCAGCCGCCGCUCGGGAGCGGAGCAGCGGGCGGCGGGACCCGCGACCCAGCGCGGCGCCGGCGAACGCGACGCGGGCCCCUCAAGAUCCCCGGCGCCCCGCCUCCGGAGCAGCCCCUGCCGCCGCGCGGACCCGCGCCGCGGAGAAGGUUGGUCCCUGCACCCGAGCGGAGAGGCGGGCGGCCCCGGUGAGCGCCCGGAGCCCCGGCCCCAGCGCGGGGCCUCGCGGGGCGCAGACCUGCUGAGCCUGCGGCCGGCGCGAAGGGUGGCCGUAGGAGGAAGGGAGGAGAGUAAAUGAAGAGAAAGAACUUGAAUAGCUCCUUCCAGAAGCAAAGGGGAAGCCAGCUUGGCUGCAGACCCCAGUCUUACGAAGCAGCAGCCCCACCUGGGAGCAGGGUGGUGGCCAGAGCAACGGUGGGAGCCCUGAAGAUGCCUCAUGGCUGCUGAGCGGGCUGCCCCGGCAGGGAGCAGGGUGGCGGGUAUGGUGUGUGGCCUGUGGGUCCUGGCGCUGGUGUCCUCCGUCCUGGCUCUGGAAGAGGUAUUGCUGGACACCACCGGAGAGACGUCUGAGAUUGGCUGGCUCACCUACCCACCAGGUGGGUGGGACGAAGUGAGUGUUCUGGAUGACCAGCAACGCCUGACUCGGACCUUCGAGGCAUGCCACGUGGCCGGGGCCCCUCCAGGCCCCGGGCAGGACAACUGGCUGCAGACACACUUUGUGGAGCGGCGAGGGGCCCAGAGGGCGCACAUCCGGAUGCAGUUCUCCGUGCGGGCCUGCUCCAGCCUGGGCGUGGCGGGGGGCACCUGCCGGGAGACCUUCACGCUUUACUACCGCCAGGCCGAGGAGCCCGACCGCUCCGACAGCAUCUCCCCCUGGCACCUCAAACGCUGGACCAAGGUGGACACGAUCGCGGCGGAUGAGAGUUUCCCCGCCUCCUCAGCGUGGGCGGUGGGUCCGCGCGGGGCGGGGCAGCGGGCGGGGCUGCAGCUGAACGUCAAGGAGCGGAGCUUCGGGCCCCUGACCCAGCGCGGCUUCUACGUGGCGUUCCAGGACACCGGGGCCUGCCUGGCCCUCGUGGCGGUCAAGCUCUUCUCCUACGCCUGCCCCUCCGUGCUCCGCGCCUUCGCCACCUUUCCGGAGACGCAGGCCAGUGGGGCCGGGGGGGCCUCCCUGGUGGCGGCCGCGGGCACCUGUGUGGCGCACGCCGAGCCCGAGGAGGAUGGAGGAGGGGGCCAGGCAGGAGGCAGCCCUCCCAGGCUGCACUGUAACGGGGAGGGCAAGUGGAUGGUAGCUGUUGGGGGCUGCCGCUGCCAGCCCGGGCACGAGCCUGCUCGCGGAGACAAGGCCUGCCAAGCCUGCCCCAGGGGGUCCUACAAGGCCUCGGCUGGGAAUGCCCCCUGCUCACCGUGCCCUGCCCGCAGCCUCGCCCCUGACCCUGCAGCCCCUGUGUGCCCCUGCCUGGAGGGCUUCUACCGGGCCAGCUCCGACCCCCCAGAGGCCCCCUGCACUGCCCCGCCGUCGGCCCCUCAGGAGCUGUGGUUUGAGGUGCAGGGCUCUGCGCUCAUGCUGCACUGGCGACUGCCUCAGGAGCUGGGGGGACGCGGGGACCUGCUCUUCAACGUCGUGUGCAAGGAGUGUGGAGCGGGCGGCAAGGGCCCUUGUCGCCGCUGCAGGGAUGAGGUGCAUUUCGACCCCCGCCAGAGGGGCCUGACAGAGAGCCGCGUGCUCGUUGCGGGGCUCCGGCCACACGUGCCCUACAUCUUGGAGGUGCAGGCCGUCAAUGGGGUGUCGGAGCUCAGCCCCGACCCUCCCCAGGCUGCAGCCAUCAAUGUCAGCACCAGCCACGCAGUUCCCUCUGCAGUCCCUGCUGUGCACCAGGUGAGCCGGGCCUCCAGCAGCAUCACCGUGUCCUGGCCACAGCCCGACCAGACCAACGGGAACAUCCUGGACUAUCAGCUCCGCUACUACGACCAGGCAGAAGACGAAUCCCGCUCCUUCACCCUGACCAGCGAGACCAACACAGCCACCGUGACCCAGCUGAGCCCCGGCCACAUCUAUGGCUUCCAGGUGCGGGCACGGACAGCCGCAGGCCACGGCCCGUACGGGGGCAAGGUCUACUUCCAGACGCUGCCCCAAGGCGAGCUGUCCGCGCAGCUUCCCGAGAGACUCUCCCUGGUGCUUGGGUCCGUCCUGGGGGCGCUGGCCUGCCUUCUGCUGGCAGCCGUCACCGUGCUGGCUCUCGUCUUCCAGAGGAAGCGGCGUGGAGCUGGCUACGUGGAGCAGCUGCAGCAGUACAGCAGCCCAGGGCUCGGGGUGAAGUACUACGUCGACCCCUCCACCCACGAGGACCCCCGCCAGGCCAUCCGAGAAUUCACCCGGGAGGUCGAUCCCACAUACAUGAAGAUCGAGGAGGUCAUUGGAGCAGGCUCCUUCGGGGAGGUGCGCCGGGGCCGCCUGCAGCCCCGGGGACGGCGGGAGCAGGCCGUGGCCAUCCAGGCCCUGUGGAGCGGAGGCGCCGAGAGCCUGCAGACGGCCUUUCUAGGCCAGGCCGCAGUGCUGGGCCAGUUUCAGCACCCCAACAUCCUGCGGCUGGAGGGCGUGGUCACCAAGAGCCAGCCCCUCAUGGUGGUGACGGAGCUCAUGGAGCUGGGCCCCCUGGACAGCUUCCUGAGGCAGCGGGAGGGCCAGUUCAGCAGCCUGCAGCUGGUGGCCAUGCAGCGGGGCGUGGCCGCCGCCAUGCACUACCUGUCCAGCUUCGCCUUCGUCCACCGUGCACUCUCUGCCCACAGCGUGCUGGUGAACAGCCACCUAGUGUGCAAAGUGGCUCGUCUGGGCCACAGUCCUCAGGGCCCAAGCUGUAUGCUUCGCUGGGCAGCCCCAGAGGUCAUUGCACACGGGAAACAUACAACAUCCAGUGACGUCUGGAGCUUUGGGAUAGUGAUGUGGGAAGUGAUGAGUUACGGAGAACGGCCCUACUGGGACAUGCGUGACCAGGAGGUACUAAAUGCAAUAGAGCAGGAGUUCCGGCUGCCCCCGCCUCCAGGCUGUCCGCCUGGACUACACCUGCUUAUGCUGGACACUUGGCAGAAGGAUCGUACCCAGCGACCUCACUUUGACCAGCUGGUGGCUGCGUUUGACAAGAUGAUCCGCAAGCCAGACACUCUGCAGGGAGCAGGGCACUCCGGCGGGAGCCCCAGGGACAGACCUUCCCAGGCCCUUCUGAACCCCGUGGCCCUGGACUUUCCCUCUCUGGACUCCCCCCAGGCCUGGCUCUCGGCCAUCGGCCUGGAGUGCUACCACGACAGCUUCUCCCGGUCUGGCCUCCACACCUUCAGUGACGUGGCUCAGCUCAGCCUGGAAGACCUGCCAACCCUGGGCGUCACCCUGGCCGGCCACCAGAAGAAGCUGCUGCACCACAUCCAGCUCCUGAAGCAGCACCUGAGGCCGCCGGGCUCCGUGGAGGUCUGAGCCCCGGGCAGAGAGCUGUGAACUGACAAUGCCCGUGACCCAGUCCUGGACGCAGGUCCACGGAGGACAUGGGAGAUGAACCAACGGUCCCCCAGCCCGAACUUGCGCCCACAGAUCCCGGAGCGAGGCCACAGGCAGCGAGGCAGCUUCUUUUCCAGCAUCACUGUGGUGGCCACGACCUGCGUGUGGGGACAGA